rnacentral:rRNA from 1 species
UACGGGGGGUAAGCGUUGUUCGGAAUUACUGGGCGUAAAGGGCUCGUAGGCGGCCAACGUAAGUCAGACGUGAAAUCCCUCAGCUUAACUGGGGAACUGCGUCUGAUACUGGAUGGCUUGGAUUUGGGAGAGGGAUGCGGAACUCCGUGGUGUAGCGGUGGAAUGCGCAGAGUAUCAGGAAGAACACCGGUGGCGAAGGCGGGUCUCUGGGCCGAAAUUGACGCUGAGGAGCGAAAGCGUGGGUAGCGAACAGG